CGCACAAUCUCCUGCUUGGCCGUGAUGGUGAAGCUCGGUCUGGAAGCUCCGAGUUUAUCUUGGGAACUCAAGAGGAGAGGAUCACCCAGUUCACAGGUAUUUGAGGAUACAAACCCAUUGCUGGGCUCGGCUUUAAAGGUCUUAUCUGAAAUUCCUUGUGAAACAGAGUUUCAUCAAAGCCAAUCCAAAAGGCCUAUGUAGAAAUAACCAUUCUUGCUGCACUUUAUGCAAAUAAUCAGGCCAAAUAUAAGACUACAGUUUAUUUACAAUUUGUUUUUACCAAAAAUGAGGACUAGAGAGAAAAAUGGCGCUCCAAAGCUUAUCAUACAUUUGUCAUUAAGUCCUAGUCUCAUUAAUUGUUUUCAAGCUUUUCGCCUACAUUUUAGACUAACCCUGCUUAUUCCUGUGAAUCAAGUAGUGAUCUCCUGCAGCUUGGAAGAAAAAAUAAGGUAUGGGUAAUGUAAAAAUCUGGAUCAAUAUACUGGUUCUGGGCAAUUAUCCUGCAAAUUCUGCCAGGUAAUAAAAGUGAGUAGGGUGCCCAUAAUCCGGAAGUUUCUUUGUUUAGGAAAAUAAAAACAAGGAACUUCAUAGACCCCCCCAAAGGGGAAUUCUAUAUCUUGACAAGUAAAAUUUUAGAUGGAAAUUAUCUACAACACCACACUUACGGAAAUUGCUAUCCUCACUCUAUUAUUUGCAAAAGGGUUAUACACAGUAGCACCUUCUAACUGAAGUAUUAAACAGAGAGUUUCCAUUGCUGUCGUAUUUUGCUUAAUUAUUAUCCUUAUAGCAGGGAUAAUAGUUACUAACAAAAAGGAAGCAUGAAAGUUUUACUAUCACUGAGCCUGGUAGGACUUUUUAUUGGGUUUAGUGAUGCAGUUUUAAAUGAAACAUGCUGCUUUUGGAUUAAUACCUCUAGUAAAGGAAAAUUUACAGAUACUUAAAAAUCAAAUCAAAAUUAUUGAUAGGCUCAGGAAAAAUGCCAGCUUCAGCCCUGAGUGGCUAGAAACCCUCUUUAAUAAAUUCCAGUCUUCUUUAUGGAAUUGGUUAACGCCUUUAUUAAGCCCUCUCUUGCUUAUAUGUCUUGUAUUGAUAUUUGGACUCUGUAUAUACAAUACUAUAACUCGAAUUGUUUCUUCACACCUAGAAGCAAUCAAACUCCAAAUGGUGCUAUAAACUGAACCACACAUGGACAGGCCAUUCUUCUGAGGACCCUUAGAUCGAUCCCAGGGGGAGCCCUAGCUGCUAUUCCCCAUUCAACGCCCCUUUUCAGCAGGAAGUAGCCAGAAGGAGUCGCCGCCCAAAAUCCCCUAACAGCAGUUAGUGUGGCAUCUCCACAGGAAGUAAUGUUGUAGGAGUUACUAAGAAAUUAUUUUAGGCAAAUAGAGAGGAAAAGGGGUCCUUGGGAAGUUUUCAUUUUUUAAAGCAUCUCUGGAAAAGUUUCUUGUAAAGCCCCGGCUCUUAGAGCCAGGCUGGCAACCUUUGAUAUGCAAAUGCAAGUCAUUAGAAACCGGGUCCACCCAGGCCAGGUGUGGUGGCUCACGCCUGUAAUCCCAACACUUUGGGAGGCCUAGGCAGGUGGAUCACCUGAGGUCAGGAGUUCGAGACCAGCCUGGCCAACAUGGUGAAACCCCGCCUCUAAUAAAAACACAAAAAACUAGCCAGGUGUGCUGCUGCGUGUCUGUAAUCCCAGCUACUCGGGAGGCUGAGGCAGGAGAACUGCUUGAACCCAGGAGGCAGAGGUUGCAGUGAGCUGAGAUUGUGUCAUUGCACUCCAGCCUGGGCGACAGCAAGACUCUGUCAAAAAAAAAAAAAAAAAAAAAAAACAGCCAGGCGUGGUAGCAUGCCUGUAGUCCCAGCUACUUGGGAGGCUGAGAUGGGAGGAUCACCCUCAACUGGGGAAGUUGAGGCUGCAGUGAGCUGAAAUCGCACCACUGCACUCCAGCCUGGGUGACAGACUGAGACCCUGUCAAAUAAAUUAUGUAUGUAUGUAUAUUUGUAUGUAUGUAUGUUAACCUCAUCCUAAAACAUCCUCACAGAACAUCCAGAAUAAUGUUUGACCAAAUAUCUGGGCACCAAUGGCACAUUCAAGUUGACACAUAAAAUUAACCCUCACAAUACCGUACUGUACAACUUUUGGAGUGAAGCUGGAAUGUCAUCGCAUUUCCAAGACUAACUCAGUGUCCACAAAUGAUGCUUAAGUCAUGAGGAUCAUCUCGGAUUUGGAUUUGGAUGCCUGACAAGCCCUCACUCUUCAGACUAAAUGUCUGAUUUGCAUGGAGAAUUAUCAAGAGAAGCAACAAUGCCAAGCAGACUAUUCCAGGUCAAAAUAGUCAAAUUAAUAAUUCAUAAAUUAUUAUAUGUUUUGAAGGUAUCGCAAAAUUAAAGUUGCAAGAACAGUACAGAUAACUUUUUUCCUGAACCAUUUGAGAGUAGGUUGCAGACCUGGUGCCCCAUCAUUUCUGAAUAUUUUAGUGUGCAUUUUCUACAAACAAGGACAUUUUCCAGCAUAAUCACAAUGCACCCAUCAAUGUCAUGAAAUUAAUGUUGGUACAUUACUACCACCUAGUCCUCAGACCCUAUUCAAAUUAUACCAGUUAUCAUAAUAGUUUCUUAUAAUUUAUAGCAAAAUGAUGCAAACCAGGAGCAUGCAUUGCAUUUUUAUGAAUUUUUAAAACAAUUAAGUCUGUGUAGUGAGUGAAGCCACAGUGAUAGGAAUAUAUAAAGGCUUUGCAUCUAGAAUUUGUUCUGAAAACCCUGAGAUUCAAGUAGUACAUUAUUUCAUUUACUGUUUUACACAGAGAAGCCCUCAUUUGUAAGAGUUUGCCUUUCUGAUUUCCACCGGAAAUGAUACUAUCAGUAUCAUACUCAGAAUCUAAUUACAUACAAGGCAGUAACCUCUCACCUGUUUUCAGCUUUGUGUAAAGACAAGGGAUCAAAACAUCCCUUUCUGCUAUUUCAUACUUAAGUAUGGGAGCUGAUCCAAAGGAAGAAUAGUUUCAAAAGUUUGUAGCAAAAAAAAUUUAAAAGGUGAAGAUUUUUUCCUUGAAUGAUUCUCACCUGGCAGAUCUAUGGAAAGAUUAGCUGACUCUGGAUCCCUGAAUAUAGUUAAUAGAAAUUUGGAAGGACCAUGUCAAAAUUAACUAAUGUGAACUGACAAAGAUUUGGUGUUCAAAGCAAAAAUUAAACUUUGGAAAAGUGAGCAAGUACUUAAUCAGAAACAAAAAAAAAAAAGAAAGGAAAAGUUAGGUGAAAAUGGUUUCCAGGUGUUGUUGCUGUUAUAGUUUGAAUCAUAAAAGUUGUUAAAAGUCUGCUGUAACAAACCAUCAUAGACUGGGUGACUUAUGAAGAACAAAAAUGUAUUUCUCACAGUUCCAGAGGCUGGGAAGUCUAAGAUCAAGGCAUCAGCAGAUUCAGUGUCUGGUGAGGGCCCACUUUCUGGUUCAUAGAUGGCACCUUCUCACUGUCUCCCCACGUGAUGGAAGGGGCAAGGGGUCUCUCUUGGUACUCUUUUAUUAAGGGCACUAAUCCCAUCCAUGGGGCUCCACCUUCAUGACCUAUUCAUCUCCCAUAGGCCCUACCUGCAGAUACCAUCGUAUGGGGGAUUUGAUUUCAGCCUGUGAAUUUGGGGGAAGCGGGACAAACAUUCGUUUUGUAGCAAAAGGAGUAGAGUAAUAUCUGCCAAUAACUGGAGGAAAGAAUUGUUCUUUUAAAACUAUUAAAUUGUUUAAUGGGAUUUAAAUGAUUUCAGGAAUGAAAUGGAAAUCCUGGUAAUGGGUAGAAACAUAGGUAAAUUCUCCUUUUCCACUUACCACCACCUGUGUGAACAACAAUCAUUUCUCAUUAAUAGUCAAGAAUUUGAGGAGAUCAUGAGUAAAAAGUCUUGAUCAGAAAUUGUGUAUAGCUGUUUCCA
rnacentral:lncRNA from 1 species